GAUGAACGCUGGCGGCGUGCCUAAUACAUGCAAGUCGAGCGAACGGACGAGAAGCUUGCUUCUCUGAUGUUAGCGGCGGACGGGUGAGUAACACGUGGAUAACCUACCUAUAAGACUGGGAUAACUUCGGGAAACCGUAGCUAAUACCGGAUAAUAUUUUGAACCGCAUGGUUCAAAAGUGAAAGACGGUCUUGCUGUCACUUAUAGAUGGAUCCGCGCUGCAUUAGCUAGUUGGUAAGGUAACGGCUUACCAAGGCAACGAUGCAUAGCCGACCUGAGAGGGUGAUCGGCCACACUGGAACUGAGACACGGUCCAGACUCCUACGGGAGGCAGCAGUAGGGAAUCUUCCGCAAUGGGCGAAAGCCUGACGGAGCAACGCCGCGUGAGUGAUGAAGGUCUUCGGAUCGUANAACUCUGUUAUUAGGGAAGGACAUAUGUGUAAGUAACUGUGCACAUCUUGACGGUACCUAAUCAGAAAGCCACGGCUAACUACGUGCCAGCAGCCGCGGUAAUACGUAGGUGGCAAGCGUUAUCCGGAAUUAUUGGGCGUAAAGCGCGCGUAGGCGGUUUUUUAAGUCUGAUGUGAAAGCCCACGGCUCAACCGUGGAGGGUCAUUGGAAACUGGAAAACUUGAGUGCAGAAGAGGAAAGUGGAAUUCCAUGUGUAGCGGUGAAAUGCGCAGAGAUAUGGAGGAACACCAGUGGCGAAGGCGACUUUCUGGUCUGUAACUGACGCUGAUGUGCGAAAGCGUGGGGAUCAAACAGGAUUAGAUACCCUGGUAGUCCACGCCGUAAACGAUGAGUGCUAAGUGUUAGGGGGUUUCCGCCCCUUAGUGCUGCAGCUAACGCAUUAAGCACUCCGCCUGGGGAGUACGACCGCAAGGUUGAAACUCAAAGGAAUUGACGGGGACCCGCACAAGCGGUGGAGCAUGUGGUUUAAUUCGAAGCAACGCGAAGAACCUUACCAAAUCUUGACAUCCUUUGACAACUCUAGAGAUAGAGCCUUCCCCUUCGGGGGACAAAGUGACAGGUGGUGCAUGGUUGUCGUCAGCUCGUGUCGUGAGAUGUUGGGUUAAGUCCCGCAACGAGCGCAACCCUUAAGCUUAGUUGCCAUCAUUAAGUUGGGCACUCUAAGUUGACUGCCGGUGACAAACCGGAGGAAGGUGGGGAUGACGUCAAAUCAUCAUGCCCCUUAUGAUUUGGGCUACACACGUGCUACAAUGGACAAUACAAAGGGCAGCGAAACCGCGAGGUCAAGCAAAUCCCAUAAAGUUGUUCUCAGUUCGGAUUGUGGUCUGCAACUCGACUACAUGAAGCUGGAAUCGCUAGUAAUCGUAGAUCAGCAUGCUACGGUGAAUACGUUCCCGGGUCU
rnacentral:rRNA from 1 species